CAAACGCUGCCUGUAUGACACACAGGAUGCCAACUACAAAAAUAGGAGGAGCAGGCAGCAGGCCUGGGAGGAUAUUGGCAAAAGCAUCUGGCCAGAUUGGAGCAGUUUAACCAAGACAGUGAAACAGGGAAAAGUCAACACUAUCAAAGGCAAAUGGAAAAGCCUGAAAGACGCCUUUAUCCGCCAUCGCCGCAAACAAAAGGAGCAGAGGAGCGGAUCCUCCCCAGGCGGACGCUCCAGUUAUGUGCAUGCAGCACAAAUGUCAUUUUUGAUACCGUGCACCGAAAUGCGGAGCACCGAUAGUAGCUGGGAACCCAGCCAGGCGCAAGCUGAUGAGGAAGAGGACGAGGGCACAAUCGACAGUGAGCCGGGCCCAUCUAUGGGGCCAAUGAGUCCUCCAGCCCCCCCCCCCCACUCCGACUUUCGUCAGCCCCAUGCAGACUGUCCAAGCCGUACCAGAGGCAACUCGGCAGCCCCGACAUAAAAGGAGGAGAACUGAGAGACAGGAGGACCGGCUAAUCGGCUGCCUGGAUGCCCUGGCACAUCCUGUGCCAAAACUUAGCAGCGACGCAUAUUUUCUCCUCAGUCUAGAGGAGAAAAUGCUGCAUGUGCCGAGACAUCUCAUCACAAAAGUAAGGGAGGAGGUGACUAACACCAUUGACAAGUAUUGCCUCCCUUAUG